AGCUUCUGGAGCGCUGGUGGCAGCCACUGCUGGACCCGUUGCGGGCCUGUCUGCCGCUGGGACCCCGGGCGCUGCCCAGUGGCUUCCGCCUUCACACAGACAUCCUCGGGUAGGGCUCGGAUGGAGGGAGUGGGUUGGGGGUCAUGUCCUCUUCCCCAGCCAUGACAUUCCCUUCCCUUUCCCAUAGGCUGCUGCUCCUCCACCUGGAACUGAAACGCUGCCUCUUCACCGUGGAGCCCUUGGGGGAUAAAGGUGACUGAGGACAGGGGCAGGGGCAGGAGAGGCGUGGGCCGGGGAGGGGCUCUGCAUCACGGCCUUUUCCUCCCAGCAGAGCCUUCACCAGAACAGCGCCGGCGCCUCCUCCGAAACUUCUAUACCCUGGUCACCUCCACGCACUUCCCACCAGGUCAGCGGAAGGCACAGUGCUCCCACUGCGCAGGCGGGGACACUGAGUCCCAGGUCGCACAAAGUGGGAGUAGGAGGUGGGGUUGGAGGAAGCGGAGGAACCCAGUAUGCACUGGGCCAUAGGGCAGUGGUUUUCCUUGAGAUCUGAGCAUUGAUGCAGAUGGGAAGGGAGGGGAAGGGAGGUCCCUGCCUGGCUUCAGAACCUCCUGGAUCGUAGUCAACAAGAGUUAACAUUGAGACCUCACCUCUUCCCAGUGACUUUACAUGUAAUGAAAGAAUGAAAUCACUUCAU
rnacentral:sRNA from 1 species